rnacentral:rRNA from 1 species
UACGUAGGGGGCAAGCAUUGUCCGGAAUUAUUGGGCGUAAAGAGCGUGUAGGCGGCCAGAUAAGUCCGCUGUGAAAUCUCGAGGCUCAACUUCGAGCUGUCGGUGGAAACUAUCUGGCUAGAGUCCGGAAGAGGAGAAUGGAAUUCCUGGUGUAGCGGUGAAAUGCGCAGAUAUCAGGAAGAACACCCGUGGCGAAGGCGGUUCUCUGGACGGUACUGACGCUGAGACGCGAAAGCGUGGGGAGCGAACAGG